rnacentral:rRNA from 1 species
GGGUCCAGGCCCUACGGGGCGCAGCAGGCGCGAAACCUCCGCAAUGCGGGAAACCGCGACGGGGGGACCCCGAGUGCCGUGGCACCGCCACGGCUUUUCCGGAGUGUAAAAAGCUCCGGGAAUAAGGGCUGGGCAAGGCCGGUGGCAGCCGCCGCGGUAAUACCGGCGGCCCGAGUGGUGGCCGCUAUUAUUGGGCCUAAAGCGUCCGUAGCCGGGCCCGUAAGUCCCUGGCGAAAUCCCACGGCUCAACCGUGGGGCUUGCUGGGGAUACUGCGGGCCUUGGGACCGGGAGAGGCGGGGGGUACCCCUGGGGUAGGGGUGAAAUCCUAUAAUCCCAGGGGGACCGCCAGUGGCGAAGGCGCCCCGCUGGAACGGGUCCGACGGUGAGGGACGAAAGCCAGGGGAGCAAACCGGAUUAGAUACCCGGGUAGUCCUGGCUGUAAAGGAUGCGGGCUAGGUGUCGGGUGAGCUUUGAGCUCGCCCGGUGCCGUAGGGAAGCCGUUAAGCCCGCCGCCUGGGGAGUACGGCCGCAAGGCUGAAACUUAAAGGAAUUGGC